ensembl:lncRNA
GGGGCCGCGGAGGUCGCCUCUGUCCGCCCCUGCGCGCGGGCAGUGGCCUCGGAACGCGUUUUGUCCUGCUCCGGGAUUCCUCGCGACCUCCUGCUGCCGCUGGAUUCUUCCAAAAGGGCGUCCUUAAAAUACAGAGGACUCCUCUCCCUUUUCCCUCCAAGCCCCAUCACGACAGACUCUGCCAGCCGCGUCCUUCUUUCUUCACGGGCCAGGCUCUCCAAGGCUGGGUGCAAAGGGGGUGUUUUAAUACAUACGUAUGGGCGAGGAAGGUGGUAGUGACAUUGAGGACAGAAGUUAACGGAGUUGCUAUUAGGCAGCUCAAAUCUUGAAAAUCGAGACUCCUUAAGGAGGACAUACAGUCUCUUCCGGGAUGCUUCUUAACUUUGAAGGGCUGAAGAAGUCUGAUGCUUUUUUUUUCUGUGAUAUUGGAGAUGGAGUCUCCGUUUGGUAUUGGCGGUAGUAUGGAUGUAUCUCCUGGGGAAUCUGAUUUAACAUAUAUUAACUGCACACCAGGAAGCCACUCAGCUAUACCAGUAACUUCAGUACACAUUCCUGGUUCCAUGUCAUUAAUCCAAUACAAUAAUCCUUUUAGUUUUUUUAAAAAAAAAAAAGCAGUGGCAACUAAAGUGCAAGAACUGUUCCUCGCGCGGCUGAAACCACUUCUAAGCACCUCUGGGCCCUAAGCCUGCCUAACUCAGCAAAACACCAAACAGACCUGUUGGCCAAAUUUUCCUUCCUCCAGAAACUAAGCCGGGAUGCUUUUUGAUGACUGGAGCUGUAAUAUCGCGCUCUGCCUGCUUUACAUCAGAGGAUGCUGUUAAGUUUGACAUUGUCAAGUGGUGUUUGGUCAGUAGUGGACAUGAAAUAAUUUUACAGAAAAAUUCUGAACUGUUCCUCUGAGCCAGGAAUGCUUAUUUGUAUGACGGAGAAAACAACAUCCCUGCUUCUGUCCAGAGGCGGAGACUGCUUCAGCUCAGAUCCCUCCUGCUGAGUUCUCCGAUGGGUGGUUUCAAACAGGGGGGAAGACAACUCCUUUUCAGGGUGGCAGAGAACAAAAGGGACCAAAUGGGGCUGAUAGGAUGCGAGUACAGAGCACUCAGGUCACAGUAAAUAGAUGAAUUAGUGUUUUCUACCUGUGAGGGGAGACAAAGCACCUUGGCCGUCCCACCAAUAAAAUUGAAUUUAAAGGAAAUGUCAUGCAGUUGGGUCAGCAAAGGCUAAAAGAUUUUCUUCAAAUAGUAGAAUAGGCGCUGACCUGUGUUAAGGAGUAAGAUUCUAACCCAGACAGCUGUACAACAAGAAUAGUCGACACACGGAGUAGUACACCCAGAAGAGGAUUGGCACCUCAAAAAGCAUCCUGGCCAGAACAGAGCAGAGCCUUUAGCCACCCUGGCUAAGGGGUUUGCAACUGUCCUUACUGAGGAAGCAGUGGAAAUUAUGCUGAGGAUUCCUCUGUAUACCCUUGUGGCUUCUUGCAUACAGGCUUCGUACAUACAAGCAUGAAAAUACACUCACAGCUCUCACUGCACUGAGCGAGUUUGUCAGUCUCUGAUUGCCUUCUUAAAAUCCCCAAUUAAAAAUCUCUCCAGCUGCUCAGAAAACUAAAAAUAGAACUAGCAUUUGAUCCAGCAAUCCCACUCCUGGGCAUCUAUCCGGAGAAAACCAUGACUUGAAAACACACGUGUACUCCAGUGUUCAUUGCGGCACUCUUUGCAAUAGCCAAGACGUGGAAACAACCUAAAUGUCCAUCGACAGAGGAGUGGAUCAAGAAGAUGUGGUACAUAUACACAGUGAAAUAUUACUCAGCCAUUAAAAGGAACGAAAUACUGGCAUUUUUAGUAACAUGGAUGGACCUGGAAAUUAUCAUGCUAAGUGAAGUCAGUCAGAUAAUGAGACACCAACACCAGAUGCUAUCACUUACAUGUGGAAUCUGAAAAAAGGGCACAAUGAACCUCUUUGCAGAACAGAUACUGACUCACAGACUUUGAAAAACUUAUGGUUUCUAAAGGAGACAGUUUGGGGGGGUGGGGGGAUGCGCUGGGGGUGUGGGAUAGAAAUACUAUAAAACUGGAUUGUGAUGAUCAUUGUACAACUAUAAAUGUAAUAAAUUCAUUGAAUAAUAAAAA